AUAUUUUUAUUACAAUAAAUAUAUUUGACUUCCAAUCAAAAGAUCCUCUCAAUGGAAAAUAUA
rnacentral:tRNA from 1 species